UACAGAGGUCUCAAGCGUUGUUCGGAUUCAUUGGGCGUAAAGGGUGCGUAGGCGGCGCGGUAAGUCGGGUGUGAAAUCUUGGAGCUUAACUCCGAAACUGCAUUCGAUACUGCCGUGCUUGAGGACUGGAGAGGAGACUGGAAUUUACGGUGUAGCGGUGAAAUGCGUAGAUAUCGUAAGGAAGACCAGUGGCGAAGGCGGGUCUCUGGAUAGUUCCUGACGCUGAGGCACGAAGGCCAGGGGAGCAAACGGG
rnacentral:rRNA from 1 species